GUGGGGAAUUUUGGACAAUGGGCGAAAGCCUGAUCCAGCCAUGCCGCGUGCAGGAAGAAGGCGCUACGCGUUGUAAACUGCUUUUAACCGGGAAGAAACCCCAGGACGUGUCCUGGGUUGACGGUACCGGAGGAAUAAGCACCGGCUAACUUCGUGCCAGCAGCCGCGGUAAUACGAAGGGUGCAAGCGUUAUCCGGAUUCAUUGGGUUUAAAGGGUGCGUAGGCGGAGCGUUAAGUCAGUGGUGAAAUCCUGCAGCUUAACUGUAGACUUGCCAUUGAUACUGGCGCUCUUGAGUGCGCUUGAAGUGGGCGGAAUGUGCCGUGUAGCGGUGAAAUGCUUAGAUAUGGCACAGAACACCAAUUGCGAAGGCAGCUCACUAAGGCGAUACUGACGCUGAGGCACGAAAGCGUGGGGAUCGAACAGGAUUAGAAACCCGGGUAGUCC
rnacentral:rRNA from 1 species